rnacentral:rRNA from 1 species
UACGGAAGGGGCAAGCGUUGUUCGGAAUCAUUGGGCGUAAAGGGCGCGUAGGUGGUUCUGUAUGUCUACCGUGAAAGCAUACAGCUCAACUGUAUUUUGUCGGUAGAAACUGCAGGACUUGAGGCUGGGAGGGGCUGGUGGAAUUCCCUGUGUAGCGGUGAAAUGCGUAGAGAUGGGGGAGAACACUCGUGGCGAAGGCGGCCAGCUAAACCAGUUCUGACACUGAGGCGCGACAGCGUGGGGAGCAAACAGG